rnacentral:sRNA from 1 species
AUCGUGUGCUAUACUCAUUCAUGUAGUUUAGGUAAGGUAAUUUUGGUUCGAUCGUUUCAUUGUUUGGAAUAUCCCCAAUUUGCACCGGAACAUGAAUUACAAAAUAAAUAUGUGCAAAUUAGCACAGGAGGAUUUUCAACAUGGAACAAGGAACAGUUAAAUGGUUUAACGCAGACAAAGGUUUUGGAUUUAUCACUCGUGAAGAUGGCAACGAUGUAUUCGUUCACUUCUCAGCUAUCCAAGGCGACGGCUUCAAGACUCUUGAAGAAGGCCAAGCAGUUAGCUUCGACGUUGAAGAAAGCGACCGUGGACCACAAGCCGUUAACGUUAACAAGCAAUAAGAUUAAUUAUUGAAAAUAUGGUUCCCAAAUCAUUUCGAUUUGGGAACCUUU